rnacentral:rRNA from 1 species
UGCCGCGUGAGUGAGGAAGGCCUUCGGGUUGUAAAGCUCUGUCAGAUGGGAAGAACAGCAGUUGGUCCAAUAGGCCAUCUGUUUGACGGUACCUUCAAAGGAAGCACCGGCUAACUUCGUGCCAGCAGCCGCGGUAAUACGAAGGGUGCAAGCGUUGUUCGGAUUUACUGGGCGUAAAGCGCGCGCAGGCGGAUUGAUAAGUCANAUGUGAAAUCUCGGGGCUCAACCCCGAAACUGCGUCUGAAACUGUUGAUCUAGAGUUAUGUAGGGGAGAAGGGAAUUUCGCAUGUAGGGGUAAAAUCCGUANARAUGCGAAGGAACACCAGAGCCGAAGGGGCUUCUCUGGGCAUACACUGACGCUGARGCGCGAAAGCGUGGGUAGCAAACAGGAUUANAUACCCUGGUAGUCCACGCCGUAAACGAUGAGUACUAGAUUUUGGGGCCUUUGACCGCUUCAGAGUCGCAGCUAACGCAUUAAGUACUCCGCCUGGGAAGUACGGUCGCAAGACUAAAACUCAAAGG